AUCUUCCUGGCUCAUAAGCAUGAUGAUUGGGUGUUUGCAAUGUUGUGUGAGAUAUGCCUUCUCUAAACCUUGUUUCCAAGUUUUGGCACAUAUCUGUCUGAUG
rfam:Ictidomys tridecemlineatus contig041698, whole genome shotgun sequence.